UCCAAAUAAGGAAAUUGGAGAAUCAUACAUUUUGCUAUCAUCAAUCAUGGAUUUUUUAUUUUUGGAAAUACUCUAGAUCUACAUUGGGAUGGAAUUAAACACAUUCAAAAAUUCGAUCUGUUACAAAACAUCGACAAAAAUCAGAGAAGAAAGUCUUGGACAAUCUUUACCACAGCGGCCAUGGUAUUGAUGAAGCCAGAACGGAGGUUAAGGAAUCGCUAGUAAGGUUCAGAGACCAUGUGUGCUUGUAGACGUAACAAGUUCUAUCCUAAGUUUUGAUAUGAAAAGUUGUUGUCGCUGAUAAUUCAAGUAUGAAUUAAGGGUCGGAGGAUCCGAAUAGCAAGAAGAUCCGGUAGCCUUACUAUAAUCAAGUCUAGAGAGAAUUGGCCUGAUCAAGAACAUGACAAGUUCAUUGAAGCUCUCCACUUAUUCGAUCGCGAUUGGAUGAAGAUAAGAGCUUUUGUUGGAUCAAAGACAGUUAUCCAGGCUGAGUGACAUGAUACAGUUGUUGCUACACGCACUUCAAGAACUGAUAACAAAAUUCAUAUUAAUGUAAAGGGAGGAAAUGUUUGUUCUUGGUGGGGCUGUCUGCAGGUGGUGAUUUAUGCAGGGGAAUCAACUGGAGUAAGUGGCCUAAUUGGUGGGUCUGUUUUCACAGAUUUGUGUGUCCGAUGCACCUGUUGGUUUUAAUUUGCACUGCAAUUGGGAGGGAUCAUGUUUUUUAGUAUUCUGCAUAUAUGCUAUUUAGGCUGCUGGACAAUUUGAAUUCUAGACUAGUUUUAUGAUUCUCGGCGGUGUUUGAGAAAAGGGAGUAGAAUGUGGUUUGUGUAGUGCUUUUAUUUGGAAACAUCAGGAUUACUAUUCUUAAAUUAAUAUAUAUUCAUGAUAUAUUCAUA